UGAUCCUGGCUCAGAUUGAACGCUGGCGGCGUGCCUAACACUUGCAAGUCGAGCGGUAACAGGUGUAGCAAUACAUGCUGACGAGCGGCGGACGGGUGAGCAAUGUUUGGGAAUCUGCCUAUUAGUGGGGGACAACCCGGGGAAACUCGGGCUAAUACCGCAUACGAUCUAAGGAUGAAAGCCGGGGACCGCAAGGCCUGGCGCUAAUAGAUGAGCCCAAAUCGGAUUAGCUAGUUGGUGGGGUAACGGCCCACCAAGGCGACGAUCCGUAGCUGGUUUGAGAGAACGACCAGCCACACCGGAACUGAGACACGGUCCGGACUCCUACGGGAGGCAGCAGUGGGGAAUAUUGGACAAUGGGGGCAACCCUGAUCCAGCGACGCCGCGUGGGUGAAGAAGGCCUGCGGGUUGUAAAGCCCUUUCGGUGGGGAUGAAAAGCUCCGUUCUAACACAGCGGGGUCUUGACCUAACCCAAGAAAGAAGCACCGGCUAACUCUGUGCCAGCAGCCGCGGUAAUACAGAGGGUGCGAGCGUUAAUCGGAAUUACUGGGCGUAAAGCGCACGUAGGUGGCUUUGCAAGUCGAUUGUGAAAUCCCCGGGCUUAACCUGGGAACUGCAGUCGAGACUGCUUUGCUUGAGUAUGGGAGAGGGAGGUGGAAUUUCCGGUGUAGCGGUGAAAUGCGUAGAUCUCGGAAGGAACAUCAGUGGCGAAAGCGACCUCCUGGACCAAUACUGACACUCAAGUGCGAAAGCGUGUGGAGCAAACAGGAUUAGAUACCCUGGUAGUCCUAGCCCUAAACCAU
rnacentral:rRNA from 1 species